GUUGAACGCUGGCGGCGGGCCUAACACAUGCAAGUCGAGCGGACGAAGGGAGCUUGCUCCUGGAUUCAGCGGCGGACGGGUGAGUAAUUCCCAGGAAUCUGCCUGGGAGUGGGGGCUAACGUCCGGACACGGGCGCUAAUACCGCAUACGUCCUGAGGUAGAAAGUGGGGGAUCUUCGGACCUCACGCUAUCUGAUGAGCCUAGGUCGGAUUAGCUAGUUGGUGAGGUAAAGGCGUACCAAGGCGACGAUCCGUAACUGGUCUGAGAGGAUGAUCAGUCACACUGGAACUGAGACACGGUCCAGACUCCUACGGGAGGCAGCAGUGGGGAAUAUUGGACAAUGGGCGAAAGCCUGAUGCAGCCAUGCCGCGUGUGUGAAGAAGGUCUUCGGAUUGUAAAGCACUUUAAGUUGGGAGGAAGGGCAGUAAGUUAAUCCCUUGAUGUCUUGACGUUACCAACAGAGUAAGCCCCGGCUAACUUCGUG
rnacentral:rRNA from 1 species